ACGGGAGGCAGCAGUGGGGAAUAUUGCACAAUGGGGGAAACCCUGAUGCAGCGACGCCGCGUGAGUGAAGAAGUUAUUCGUAAUGUAAAGCUCUAUCAGCAGGGAAGAAAAUGACGGUACCUGACUAAGAAGCCCCGGCUAACUACGUGCCAGCAGCCGCGGUAAUACGUAGGUGGCGAGCGUUGUCCGGAUUUACUGGGUGUAAAGGGAGCGCAGGCGGGACAGCAAGUUGGAUGUGAAAUACCGAGGCUUAACCUCGGAGCUGCAUCCAAAACUGCCGUUCUUGAGUGAAGUAGAGGUAGGCGGAAUUCCGAGUGUAGCGGUGAAAUGCGUAGAUAUUCGGAGGAACACCGGUGGCGAAGGCGGCCUACUGGGCUUUAACUGACGCUGAGGCUCGAAAGUGUGGGGAGCAAACAGGAUUAGAUACCCUGGUA
rnacentral:rRNA from 1 species